rnacentral:rRNA from 2 species
GGAUGCGAUCAUACCACCACUAAAGCACUGGAUCUCUUCAGAACUCCGAAGUUAAGCGUGCUUGGGCGAGAGUAGUACUAGGAUGGGCGACCUCCUGGGAAGUCCUCGUGUUGUAUUCC